rnacentral:misc_RNA from 1 species
UUAGAAGUCUUGUAUAUAUAGCCUCGGAUUUAAUAAAAAGAAAAUAUGAAAUAGAGAAGCCAAUAACUCUCUCUUUUCUCAAUAUCUUUUUCUUCCUACAAAUUAUUAGAAAAAGAAAAUGCAAGAUGCUUUCCUAAUCCUGUCACUCAAAAGUUUUUGAAAUAUAAAUUAGCUUAUUAAUUUGGUUGCAACAUUGAAGAUCAUUUGGGAAUCAUUCUGGUCAUCUGGUGUCUGAAAUACUUCAGAAAAGCUUAAUAUUCUUUCAAUAAAGAAAGCCAUAAUAAUGCUUGUAUAAAUAAGGAACUACUAUGUGAUUAAUAAGUUUGUAAAAGCCUGGAUAAAAAUUCCUUUUCCAAACAAGAAUUCACAUUCCUGGAAAAUG